rnacentral:rRNA from 1 species
UUCGCAAUGCCCGAAAGGGUGAACGAGCGACGCCGCGUGCGGGAUGAAGGCCUUCGGGUUGUAAACCGCUUUUGCAAGGGAAAAACUUAAUGAUGGUACCUUGCGAAUAAGAGGUUACUAACUCUGUGCCAGCAGCCGCGGUAAGACGAACCGUGCGAUCGUUAUUCGGAAUCACUGGGCUUAAAGCGCGUGUAGGCGGAUGGGAACGUCGGUCUUUGAAAGCCCCCGGCUCAACCGGGGAAGCGGAGCCGAAACGACCGAUCUGGAGGGACGUAGGGGGACCUGGAACUUCCGGUGGAGCGGUGAAAUGCGUUGAGAUCGGAAGGAACGCCCGUGGCGAAAGCGAGGUCCUGGACGUCUGCUGACGCUGAGACGCGAAAGCUAGGGGAGCAAACGGGAUUAGAUACCCCGGUAGUCCUAGCCGUAAACGAUGGGCACUAAGUAGAGGGGUUUU